rnacentral:rRNA from 1 species
CAGUAGCCACGGGAAUACAGAGGGUGCGAGCGUUAAUCGGAUUUACUGGGCGUAAAGCGUGCGUAGGCGGCUUCUUAAGUCGGAUGUGAAAUCCCUGAGCUUAACUUAGGAAUUGCAUUCGAUACUGGGAAGCUAGAGUAUGGGAGAGGAUGGUAGAAUUCCAGGUGUAGCGGUGAAAUGCUUAGAGAUCUGGAGGAAUACCGAUGGCGAAGGCAGCCAUCUGGCCUAAUACUGACGCUGAGGUACGAAAGCAUGGGGAGCAAACAGGAUUAGAUACCCGGGUAGUCCCUGUCUCUUAUAC